UACGUAGGUGGCAAGCGUUGUCCGGAAUUAUUGGGCGUAAAGCGCGCGCAGGCGGUCCUUUAAGUCUGAUGUGAAAGCCCACGGCUCAACCGUGGAGGGUCAUUGGAAACUGGGGGACUUGAGUGCAGGAGAGAAGAGUGGAAUUCCACGGUGUAGCGGUGGAAUGCGUAGAGAUCCGGAAGAACACCGGUGGCGAAGGCGGUCUGCUGGGCGAGUGAGCUGACACUGAGGCGCGACAGCGUGGGGAGCAA
rnacentral:rRNA from 1 species